CGGGUUGUGGCUCAGUGGUAGAGCGCAUGCCUAGCAUGUGUGAAGCGCUGGGUUUGAUUCUCAGCACCGCAU
rfam:Ictidomys tridecemlineatus contig015727, whole genome shotgun sequence.